CCUACGGGUGGCAGCAGUCGGGAAUAUUGCGCAAUGGGCGCAAGCCUGACCCAGCAACGCCGCGUGAAGGAAGAAAGCUUUCGGGUUGUAAACUUCUUUUGUCAGGGACGCAGCAAGUGACGGUACCUGACGAAUAAGCCACGGCUAACUACGCGCCAGCAGCAGCGGUAAUACGUAGGGGGCAAGCGUUAUCAGGAUUUACUGGGUGUAAAGGGCGUGUAGGCGGGACUGCAAGUCUGAUGUGAAAACCACGGGCUCAACCUGUGGCCUGCAUUUGAAACUGUAGGUCUUGAGUACUGGAGAGGCAGACGGAAUUCCCAGUGUAGCGGUGAAAUGCGUAGAUAUUAGGAGGAACACCAGUGGCGAAGGCGGUCUGCUGGACAGCAACUGACGCUGAGGCGCGAAAGCGUGGGGAGCAAACAGGAUUAGAUACCCCUGUAGUC
rnacentral:rRNA from 1 species